rnacentral:rRNA from 1 species
AGCGUACACGGUGGAUGCCCUGGCAGUCAGAGGCGAUGAAGGACGUGCUAAUCUGCGAUAAGCGUCGGUAAGGUGAUAUGAACCGUUAUAACCGGCGAUUUCCGAAUGGGGAAACCCAGUGUGUUUCGACACACUAUCAUUAACUGAAUCCAUAGGUUAAUGAGGCGAACCGGGGAACUGAAACAUCUAAGUACCCCGAGGAAAAGAAAUCAACCGAGAUUCCCCAGUAGCGGCGAGCGAACGGGGAGCAGCCCAGAGCCUGAAUCAGUGUGUGUGUUAGUGGAAGCGUCUGGAAAGGCGCGCGAUACAGGGUGACAGCCCCGUACACAAAAAUGCACAUGCUGUGAGCUCGAUGAGUAGGGCGGGACACGUGGUAUCCUGUCUGAAUAUGGGGGGACCAUCCUCCAAGGCUAAAUACUCCUGACUGACCGAUAGUGAACCAGUACCGUGAGGGAAAGGCGAAAAGAACCCCGGCGAGGGAGUGAAAAAGAACCUGAAACCGUGUACGUACAAGCAGUGGGAGCCUCUUUAUGGGGUGACUGCGUACCUUUUGUAUAAUGGGUCAGCGACUUAUAUUCUGUAGCAAGGUUAACCGAAUAGGGGAGCCGAAGGGAAACCGAGUCUUAACUGGGCGUUAAGUUGCAGGGUAUAGACCCGAAACCCGGUGAUCUAGCCAUGGGCAGGUUGAAGGUUGGGUAACACUAACUGGAGGACCGAACCGACUAAUGUUGAAAAAUUAGCGGAUGACUUGUGGCUGGGGUGAAAGGCCAAUCAAACCGGGAGAUAGCUGGUUCUCCCCGAAAGCUAUUUAGGUAGCGCCUCGUGAAUUCAUCUCCGGGGGUAGAGCACUGUUUCGGCAAGGGGGUCAUCCCGACUUACCAACCCGAUGCAAACUGCGAAUACCGGAGAAUGUUAUCACGGGAGACACACGGCGGGUGCUAACGUCCGUCGUGAAGAGGGAAACAACCCAGACCGCCAGCUAAGGUCCCAAAGUCAUGGUUAAGUGGGAAACGAUGUGGGAAGGCCCAGACAGCCAGGAUGUUGGCUUAGAAGCAGCCAUCAUUUAAAGAAAGCGUAAUAGCUCACUGGUCGAGUCGGCCUGCGCGGAAGAUGUAACGGGGCUAAACCAUGCACCGAAGCUGCGGCAGCGACGCUUAUGCGUUGUUGGGUAGGGGAGCGUUCUGUAAGCCUGUGAAGGUGUGCUGUGAGGCAUGCUGGAGGUAUCAGAAGUGCGAAUGCUGACAUAAGUAACGAUAAAGCGGGUGAAAAGCCCGCUCGCCGGAAGACCAAGGGUUCCUGUCCAACGUUAAUCGGGGCAGGGUGAGUCGACCCCUAAGGCGAGGCCGAAAGGCGUAGUCGAUGGGAAACAGGUUAAUAUUCCUGUACUUGGUGUUACUGCGAAGGGGGACGGAGAAGGCUAUGUUGGCCGGGCGACGGUUGUCCCGGUUUAAGCGUGUAGGCUGAUUUUCCAGGCAAAUCCGGAAAAUCAAGGCUGAGGCGUGAUGACGAGGCACUACGGUGCUGAAGCAACAAAUGCCCUGCUUCCAGGAAAAGCCUCUAAGCAUCAGGUAACAUCAAAUCGUACCCCAAACCGACACAGGUGGUCAGGUAGAGAAUACCAAGGCGCUUGAGAGAACUCGGGUGAAGGAACUAGGCAAAAUGGUGCCGUAACUUCGGGAGAAGGCACGCUGAUAUGUAGGUGAAGUCCCUCGCGGAUGGAGCUGAAAUCAGUCGAAGAUACCAGCUGGCUGCAACUGUUUAUUAAAAACACAGCACUGUGCAAACACGAAAGUGGACGUAUACGGUGUGACGCCUGCCCGGUGCCGGAAGGUUAAUUGAUGGGGUCAGCGCAAGCGAAGCUCUUGAUCGAAGCCCCGGUAAACGGCGGCCGUAACUAUAACGGUCCUAAGGUAGCGAAAUUCCUUGUCGGGUAAGUUCCGACCUGCACGAAUGGCGUAAUGAUGGCCAGGCUGUCUCCACCCGAGACUCAGUGAAAUUGAACUCGCUGUGAAGAUGCAGUGUACCCGCGGCAAGACGGAAAGACCCCGUGAACCUUUACUAUAGCUUGACACUGAACAUUGAGCCUUGAUGUGUAGGAUAGGUGGGAGGCUUAGAAGUGUGGACGCCAGUCUGCAUGGAGCCGGCCUUGAAAUACCACCCUUUAAUGUUUGAUGUUCUAACGUGGACCCGUAAUCCGGGUUGCGGACAGUGUCUGGUGGGUAGUUUGACUGGGGCGGUCUCCUCCUAAAGAGUAACGGAGGAGCACGAAGGUUGGCUAAUCCUGGUCGGACAUCAGGAGGUUAGUGCAAUGGCAUAAGCCAGCUUGACUGCGAGCGUGACGGCGCGAGCAGGUGCGAAAGCAGGUCAUAGUGAUCCGGUGGUUCUGAAUGGAAGGGCCAUCGCUCAACGGAUAAAAGGUACUCCGGGAUAACAGGCUGAUACCGCCCAAGAGUUCAUAUCGACGGCGGUGUUUGGCACCUCGAUGUCGGCUCAUCACAUCCUGGGGCUGAAGUAGGUCCCAAGGGUAUGGCUGUUCGCCAUUUAAAGUGGUACGCGAGCUGGGUUUAGAACGUCGUGAGACAGUUCGGUCCCUAUCUGCCGUGGGCGCUGGAGAACUGAGGGGGCUGCUCCUAGUACGAGAGGACCGGAGUGGACGCAUCACUGGUGUUCGGGUUGUCAUGCCAAUGGCACUGCCCGGUAGCUAAAUGCGGAAGAGAUAAGUGCUGAAAGCAUCUAAGCACGAAACUUGCCCCGAGAUGAGUUCUCCCUGACUCCUUGA